rnacentral:rRNA from 1 species
GCGACCCCAGGUCAGACGGGAUGACCCGCUGAGUUUAAGCAUAUAAAUAAGCAGAGGAAAAGAAACUUACCAGGAUUUCCUUAGUUAUGGCAAGCGAACCGAGAACAGCCCAGCCUUAGAAUCGGGCGGCUCCGUCGUCCGAAUUAUAGUCUGGAGAAGCGUCCUCAGCGGCGGACCGGGCCCAUGUCCCCUGGAAGGGGGCGCCAGAGAAGGUGAGAGCCCCAUUGUGCCAGAACCCUGCCGCACCACGAGGAACUGUCUACGAGUUAGGUUGUUUGGGAAUGCAGCCUAAAUCGGGCGGUGAAUUUUGUCCAAGGCUAAAUACGGGCGACAGACCGAUAGCGAAUAAGUACCGCAAGGAAAAGAUGAAAAGGACUUUGAAGAGAGAGUCAAAGAGAGCUUGAAAUUAUCGGGAGGAAAGCGAAUGGGGGCCGGCGAUGCGCCCCGGUUGGAUGUCGAACGGCGAUGAGCCGGUCCGCCGAUCGACUCGGGGCGUGGACCAGUAUGGAUUGGGGGGCAGCCAAAGUUGGGGCUCUCGAUACGCUCGUGGAAUGCCAUCUGCUCAAUUAUGGCAGGCAUUGUGCGCCUCCAGUGUGCUUCGGUAUCUGCACGCUCCGGCCGCUGGCCUGUGGGCUCCCCAUUCGACCCGUCUUGAAACACAGACCAAGGAGUCUGACAUGUGUGCGACUCAACGGGCGAGUAAACCCGUAAGGUGUAAGGAAGCUGAUUGGUGGUAUACCCCCAAGGGGUGUACCACCGACCGACCUUGAUCUUCUGAUAAGGGUUCGAGUGUGAACAUACCUGUCAGGACCCAAAAAAUGGUGAACUAUGCCUGAGCGGGGCGAAGCCAGAUAAAACUCUGGUGGAGGACCGCAGCAAUACUGAAGUGCAAAUCGUUCGUCUGACUUGGGUGUAGGGGCGAAAGAAUAAUCAAACCGUCUAGUAGUUGGUUCCCUCAGAAGUCUCCCUUAGGAUAGCUGGAGCUUGCGUGCGAGUUCUAUCGGGUAAAACCAAUGAUUAGCGGCCUCGGGGGCGCAACGCCCUCGAUCAAUUCUCAAACUUUAAAUAGGUAGGACGGCGCGGCUGCUUUGUUGAGCCUCGCCACGAAAUCAAGAGCUCCAAGUGGGCCAUUUUUGGUAAGCAAAACUGGCGAUGCGGUAUGAACCGGAUCCGGGUUACGGUGCCAAACUAUGCGCUAACCUAGAUCCCACAAAGGGUAUUGGUCGAUUAAGAUAGCAGGACGGUGGUCAUAGAAGUCGAAAUACGCUAAGGAGUGUGUAACAACUUACCUGCUGGAUAAACUAGCCCUGAAAAUGGAUGGCGCUUAAGCGCGCGACCUACACCCAGCCGUCGGGGCUAGUUCCAGGCCCCGAUGAGUAGGAGGGCAUCGCGAUCGCUGCAAAACCUUGGGUGCUAGCCCGGGCGGAGUGGCCGUCGGUGCAGAUAUUGGUGGUAGUAGCAAAUAUUCAAAUGAGAACUUCGAAGGUCGAAGAGGGGAAAAGUUCCAUGUGAACGGCACUUGCACAUGGAUUAGUCGAUCGUAAGGGUCAGGGGAACCCCGACAGAUAGCGCGUUUCGCGCGUACUCCGAAAGGGAAUUGGGUUAAAAUUCCUGAACCGGGAUGUGGCGGUCGACGACAACGUUAGGAAGUCCAGAUACGUCGGCGAAAGCCUCGAGAAGAGUUAUCUUGUUUGUUUAACUGCAUGCCCACCCUGGAAUCAGCUCAGCCGGAGGUAGGGUAUAGCGGCUGAAAGAGUGGGUAAAAGCUCGUUUGAUUCUGACUACCAGUACGAAUACGAACUAUGAAAGUGUGGCCUAACAAUCUUUUAGACCUUCGAAAUUCGAAGCUAGAGGUGUCAGAAAAGUUACCACAGGGAUAACUGGCUUGUGGCAGCCAAGCGUUCAUAGCGACGUUGCUUUUUUAUUCUUCGAUGUCGGCUUUUCCUAUCAUUGUGAAGCAUAAUUCACCAAGUGUUGGACUGUUCACCCACCAAUAGGGAACAUGAGUUGGGUUUAGACCGUCAUAAGACAGGUUAGUUUUACCCUACUGAUGACAGUGUCGCAGUAGUAAUUCAACUUAGUACGAGAGGAAUUGUUGAUUCACACAAUUGGUCAUCGCGCUUGGUUGAAAAGCCAGUGGCGCAAAGCUAAACCAAGGCACCGUGGCACUGAGGCACGAUGGCAUCGUGGCACCGUGCACCAAGGCACCGGGCAGCAAGGCACCGUGGCACCAUGGCACGAAGGCACCGUGGCAUCAUGGCACCGUGGCACCAAAGCACCAUGGCACCAAAGCACCAUGACACCGUGGCACCAUAGCACCAAGGUACCACCGUGCCAAAAUCAAAAGAGCGUAAACCUACGUUCGAUCAUCCAAAUAUUUUCCUGACAUUUAUCCAUCUUCCUCACCGUUGCAUGCUCAUUUUUGUACAUAUCCGCUCUAAUUAUUUAUUUUAAAUAUAUUUCAAUGUUACCUCAUAUGUUGUGACAAUUUUCUUAAUUUCCCGUCGCCUUUUUUUCAAAUUUUUAUUUAAUAUCCUUAAAUUUAAAUAUUUUAUAUCGUUACGUUAUUCGUACAGAUAUGCACUCUAUUGUUGGUUUAAGGUUACUUCAUUCUGAUAUGCAUAUUUUGGGGUUGUUACUUAUCUGUUGCAUUUUCGGCGAUUUUCCUAAUGUCCCCACAUAAUUUUUAUAUAUUUUUUUAAUUUUUUAUUUAAUAUUCUUAAAUUUAAAUAUUUUAUACCGUUACGUUAUACGUACAAAUAUUCACUCGAUUGUUGGUUUAAGGUUAGUUCAUGCGCUGGAAAUAUUUUCCUAAUGUUUUUAUAUUUUUAUAAAUAUUUUUUCUGCUUUUGAUUUAUUUUUACUUAGUUUUUGAAUUUUCAUAAAUGAUAUUUGAAAAAAAAUAUUUCUUAAUGAAUCCGCGGCGAGCG